rnacentral:rRNA from 1 species
GUCCUUUAGAUAUUAAUUUAAGGUCUAACCUGCCCACUGAAAUUAUUUUAAAUGGCCGCAGUAAUUUGACUGUGCAAAGGUAGCAUAAUCAUUAGUUUUUUAAUUAAAAGCUUGUAUGAAAGGUUGGACGAAGUAAAAUCUGUCUCUAUAUAAAUUAAUUUAGAAUUUAACUUUUAAGUUAAAAGGCUUAAAUUUAAUUAAAAGACGAGAAGACCCUAUAGAUCUUUAUAUUUUUAUUAUUAAAUUUAAUUAUGAAUUUUUAAAAUUUUAUUAAUAAAAUUAUUUUAUUGGGGUAAUAUAAAGAUUAAAAUAAUUCUUUUUUUUUAUUAACAUUAAUUUAUGGUUUUUAUGAUCCAGUUUUAUUGAUUAAAAGAUUAAGUUACCUUAGGGAUAACAGCGUAAUUUUUUUAGAGAGUUCUUAUCGAUAAAAAAGUUUGCGACCUCGAUGUUGGAUUAAAGAUUAUUUUAGGUGCAGAAGUUUAAAAAUUUUGGUCUGUUCGACCAUUAAAUCUUUACAUGAUCUGAGUUCAGACCGGCGUAAGCCAGGUUGGUUUCUAUCUUUAGUAAAUUAAAAUAUUUUAGUACGAAAGGACCAAAUAUUUAAUAUAUUAAUAUUUAAUUUUUUGAUUAUUAUUAA